rnacentral:rRNA from 1 species
GAUUACCUGGCGAACUUAAGCAUAUCACUAAGCGGAGGAAAAGAAACUAACCAGGAUUCCCCUAGUAACGGCGAGUGAAGAGGGAAUAGCCCAGCACCGAAGCCUGCGGUAGGUUUACUGCUAGGCAAUGUGGUGUUUGGGUCGACUCGCGGGAUUGCCACUCCACUCGAAGUCCAGCACUGAGUAUGGUUCCCUGGAUUUGGCCCAGAGAGGGUGAAAGGCCCGUGCGAGUGGAGGUUCAGACAUGUGAGGCAAUUCACCAGGUCGACCUUCGAGUCGGGGUGUUUGGGAAUGCAGC